GCUGGCGGCGUGCUUAACACAUGCAAGUCGCACGAGAACGUUUAGCUUGCUGAAACUAGUAAAGUGGCGCACGGGUGAGUAACGCGUGGGUAAUCUACCUCCGAAUUGGGGAUAACAUUGCGAAAGCGAUGCUAAUACCGAAUGACAUCUCAAUAACCUCGGUCUUUGAGAUCAAAGGUGGCCUCUCCAUGGAAGCUACUGUUUGGAGAUGAGCCCGCGUACCAUUAGCUUGUUGGUAGGGUAAUGGCCUACCAAGGCGACGAUGGUUAGCUGGUCUGAGAGGAUGAUCAGCCACACUGGAACUGACACACGGUCCAGACUCCUACGGGAGGCAGCAGUGAGGAAUUUUGCGCAAUGGGGGAAACCCUGACGCAGCAACGCCGCGUGAGUGAUGAAGGCUUUCGGGUCGUAAAGCUCUGUCAAGUGAGAAGAAACUGCCCUUUGCUAAUAUCAUUGGGCACUGACGG
rnacentral:rRNA from 1 species